AAAACUAUACUUCCAGAGAUCAUUUGUAUAGUUUGUUACUAGAGAAGUUUCCCUGAAUGCGUACAGUACUGGAAGCCCUGAAUAAGAGAUGCAGGUUUUUUUCUUUUGAGUGUGAAGUUUGCUUUCGGUGUUGUUUCAGUAUGACUGCCGUGAGCUGUUGAUGAUCGUUCUUGUCUUCUGUUUGGAGAGUAAGAGAGAGAAAACGCAGUCUGAGUGGU